rnacentral:rRNA from 1 species
AGAACGAACGCUGGCGGCAUGCCUAAUACAUGCAAGUCGAACGAACACUUCGGUGUUAGUGGCGCACGGGUGCGUAACGCGUGGGAAUCUGCCCUUGGGUUCGGAAUAACAGUUGGAAACGACUGCUAAUACCGGAUGAUAUCGAAAGAUCAAAGAUUUAUCGCCCAGGGAUGAGCCCGCGUAGGAUUAGCUAGUUGGUGAGGUAAAGGCUCACCAAGGCGACGAUCCUUAGCUGGUCUGAGAGGAUGAUCAGCCACACUGGGACUGAGACACGGCCCAGACUCCUACGGGAGGCAGCAGUGGGGAAUUUGGACAAUGGGGGAAACCCUGGAUCCAGCCAUCCCGCGUGUGCGAUGAA